GAUGAACGCUGGCGGCGUGCCUAAUACAUGCAAGUCGAGCGAACAGACGAGGAGCUUGCUCCUCUGACGUUAGCGGCGGACGGGUGAGUAACACGUGGAUAACCUACCUAUAAGACUGGGAUAACUUCGGGAAACCGGAUCUAAUACCGGAUAAUAUAUUGAACCGCAUGGUUCAAUAGUGAAAGACGGUUUUGCUGUCACUUAUAGCUGGAUCCGCGCCGCAUUAGCUAGUUGGUAAGGUAACGGCUUACCAACGCAACGAUGCGUAGCCGACCGGAGAGGGUGAUCAGCCACACGGGAACUGAGAAACGGUCCAGACUCCUACGGGAGGCAGCAGUAGGGAAUCUUCCGCAAUGGGCGAAAGCCUGACGGAGCAACGCCGCGUGAGUGAUGAAGGUCUUCGGAUCGUAAAACUCUGUUAUUAGGGAAGAACAAAUGUGUAAGUAACUAUGCACGUCUUGACGGUACCUAAUCAGAAAGCCACGGCUAACUACGUG
rnacentral:rRNA from 1 species